rnacentral:rRNA from 1 species
UACGUAGGGUGCAAGCGUUAAUCGGAAUUACUGGGCGUAAAGCGUGCGCAGGCGGUUUUGUAAGUCUGAUGUGAAAUCCCCGGGCUCAACCUGGGAAUUGCAUUGGAGACUGUAAGGCUAGAAUCUGGCAGAGGGGGGUAGAAUUCCACGUGUAGCAGUGAAAUGCGUAGAGAUGUGGAGGAACACCGAUGGCGAAGGCAGCCCCCUGGGUCAAGAUUGACGCUCAUGCACGAAAGCGUGGGGAGCAAACAGG